ACAAAUUGUCGCAAAAAUUGUAUUAAAAAAAAGAAAAAAAUAAAUUAGAAAUUUGGGAAUAGAAUUUGAAUUUGUUUUUUUGGUGUGGCUCAACCGCGGAGUGCCGCUUUUCUUCCCAUCUCUGAUUGGAUUAAUUUCUUUUGGAAGUCCAUCGAUUUCAAAAGGACAUUCAAGGACUCAUUUACUGUAGGAGAUCCUAGAUUGGAGAUUGGAGAUUUUUUUUAGAUGGGAGAUUUUUGCACAGCCCAGAAUUUUUAAAACGGCAUGAGAUCUAUCUUUCCAGAUGACAUUCAAAAAAUGAUAGACAUUCGUUCCUUCUUACUUGGGAUUCCAUUGCAGGAUAUUCAAAUUCAGCUUAUCCAAGAAUGCCAGUAGCAAUAAGCAAACAUAAUUUUGCCAAACUUUUUUGUUCUCUGCACUGCGGUCUGCCAUCGGCUGAUGCUGCCAGUGAUGUUUUGUGUUUGUCAUUUGGUUUGUCUGUUUGCGCUUUCCUUUUUUGGUCUUAAAAUCUUAUUUCUACCAAAGAAUUAAACAUCAAACCGAUGGCUUUGGUCCAUGCACAUCCUCCUGCAGAGAGAAAGAAGGAAAUCUGGUAACUGACACAUAUAACAUGCUGAGGAUAUGGAAAGAACAUUUUACCAACUGCUAGUGUCCGAUGUUGGCGGCGAAGAGGAUACCGCAGAACCAAUACCUGAUGAUGGUAUAAAAUGUUUACCUGGCAAAUCCACCCUGGACCAGAUAUUCACACUGCGCCAAAUCCUGGAGAAGACCCGCGAAGGACAAAUCAACACCUACCAUCUCUUUAUUGACUACAAAGCCGCCUUCGAUUCUCCUUUACGUUCAAAGGUAUUUCAAGCCAUGUCUGAGUUUUGUAUCCCUGCAAAAUUAAUAAGACUCUGCAGGAUGACACUUGCUGAUACGCGUUCCUCAGUAAGAAUAGGAAAGAAUCUCUCCGAAACAUUUAAUGCCAAACGAGGUUUCAGACAAGGAGACAGCCUAUCGUGUGAUCUCUUUAAUAUUCUGUUGGAGAAGAUUAUACGAGAUGCAGAUGUGAAUAGAUAUGACACACUAAUCACAAGAGAACCGUGCUAUUCGCCUAUGCCGUCGACAUCGAUAUCAUAGGUCGGUCGUAAGUAGUAACUGCAGCCUUUGAAAGAAUCGAAAGAGAGUCAGUGAAAAUGGGUCUGGCAGUAAAUGGAGAUAAGACGAAAUGGAUGGUUUCAACUCCCAAAAAGCCUUGCACAGCCGAGCAGAUAAAGAAAAUGGAGAGAGUUGGGAGCCACAACUUUGAGACAGUAAGUAACUUUAUCUACCUCGGUAUCGCCGUAACCGAAACGAAUGACACCAGUUUUGAGAUUAAGCGAAAAAUAAUACUGGCAAACAGAUGCUACUUUGGACUAAGUAAGCAGUUUAGAAACAAGGCCACCUCUCGACAGACGAAGAUUGCACUAUACAAGACACUGAUACUACCCGUGCUGUUAUAUGGUUCUGAAGCAUGGGUACUUGUGAAAGCAGAUGUGGCAGUGCUUGGAGUAUUUGAGAGAAAUUCCUGCAAUGGAAUCUCAGAAAGAUUCUUCGUAAAAUAUAUGGACCAGUUUGCGAUAAUGGAGAAUAUAGACGACGUAUGAACAACGAGCUGUAUGAGCUGUAUGGCGACGAUAGCAUAGUUACACGCAUCAAAAUACAACGGCUGCGUUGGCUAGGUCAUAUUAUCAGAAUGGAUGAAGAAGCUCCAGCAAAGAAGUCUUUUGAAGGCAAACACGGUGGUACACGCAAACUGGGAAUACCAAAAGCCCGAUGGAAAGAUCAAGUGGUGGGAGACACCUCGAAACGUGGUGUCAGAGAUUUUAGAAUGAGCGCAUGAGAUCGAGGCGCUUGGAACCCUAUUCUACG